AAUACAGUUUUAUAUCUUUAUGUUUGAAGCCUGAAAUGUGGCAAAAGGUCACAAUGUUCAAGGGGGCCGAAUACUUUCGCAAGGCACUGUACCACACCCCUCGGGCCGUAUUGCAUAAUUUUACUCUUUGAAGAAAAUGUCUAUCUAUCAAAAGCCCAGCACACCCUGUAAAUCUCCAGGACUAGGGUUAGAGACUCUGUUAAAUUUAAUUUAACUAUUAUUGAUGGAAACUGCUACAAUUAGCUGUAAUAACAGGUUGUAGUAUAUAUUGUGUGCUGAUAGGUGUAUUGUGUUGUUGUAGUAAAAUGACUGGUCUGUAUUGUGUUUCUUUGUGUGGUUUCCAGCCCUGCUCCUGUGUCCCCUCAGAUCAGCACAUCCUGUCCCAGGAGUUUACACUACAAUCCUGCUGUGCUUUUUGGGAUAAUCAGCCUCUUCUCUGCUGGCCUGUCUUCUGCUUCUGGACACCAUGGAUUGUCAAAUCCAGAUUGUCACAUGGUAGGUCAUAAGUGGGACAUAGUACCAUGGUUCAAACUUGUCUACAGUCAUUGUAAUAUUUGUCAAUGGUUGUCAUGAACUUGAAGUGCAGGUCAACUUCUAUAGACAUGUUUAUGGUCACAGUUAGUGCCAUAUCACUAAUGUCGUGUGCCAUAUGAUUUUGAAAAGGCAGAAUCCAGCUAGCACAUCUUAUUUCCUUGGGAGUUGUGGGAACAUUGGUUGUGGCAAUGAAGCCAUACCUUUCCUAACUGUUAAAAUGGAAUGUUUUUUUAAACAUUCUAAGAACAGAAGUGAAAAUGUUGAGUGUUCUGGGAACAUUCAUUUAUAGGUUUUUGCUAUGGUUCCUUAAGUUUUCCUGGGAGGUUUUAUUAACACUCUGAGAACAGAAAUGAUAGGCUAUUGAGGUUUUUGUAAAACUUUUGCCAAAUGUUUCAAUAAGACUUUUAAUAACUCUGCUAGCAUCUUGGGUAACCCUCUGUAUUUUAUUUUUAUCCCCAAGCACCGGAUGGGAC
rnacentral:lncRNA from 1 species